rnacentral:rRNA from 1 species
GUCUACGACCAUGCUACCCUGAACGUGUCCUAUCCCGUCUGAUCUCGGAAGCUAAGCAGGGUUGGGCCUGGUUAGUAAUUGGAUAGGAGACCACCUAGGAAGACCAGGUGCUGUAGGUA